rnacentral:rRNA from 1 species
CAGCUCAAAUUUGAAAUCUGGCCCUUUCGGGGUCCGAGUUGUAAUUUGUAGAGAGUGCUUCGGGGGAGAUGGCGGUCUAAGUCCAUUGGAACAUGGUGUCAGAGAGGGUGAGAAUCCCGUACGUGACCGCGGAUCGAACCCGCGUGAAGCCUCUUCGACGAGUCGAGUUGUUUGGGAAUGCAGCUCAAAAUGGGUGGUAAAUUUCAUCUAAAGCUAAAUACUGGCUGGAGACCGAUAGCGCACAAGUAGAGUGAUCGAAAGAUGAAAAGCACUUUGGAAAGAGAGUUAAACAGUACGUGAAAUUGUUGAAAGGGAAGCGCUGGCAACCAGACCUGCCCGUGGGCGAUCAACCGCUGUUCUCAGCGGUGCACUCGUUCUGCGAUCAGGCCAGCAUCGGUUUCGGCGGUCGGAUAAAGGCCUUGGGAAUGUAGCUUCCUUUCGGGGGAGUCUUAUAGCCCUCGGUGCAAUGCGGCCAGCCGGGACCGAGGACCGCGCUUCGGCUAGGAUGCUGGCGUAAUGGUUGUCAGCGACC